CAUUUAAAAAACUUGACUAAUCAGAAACACACGUUAUUGGCCAUUUGACCCAAACGUUAUGGUGCCCUCAAAUGGGGGUGUCAAUUCCUAAUACAAGCACAGAAUUAGCCGUUUAUACUUUUUAAAUUAUAAAGCGUAGCUUCGAAUUAGCAAACAUAAUGGAACUCCGUCGAACAUGCUUUCAAGUGACUGUUCUUCUUGCUAAACCGAAGUCAGGAGCUAGCUAACGUUGUAUAUGGAUAGUGAGCAAAUGUCGCUUAGCCUUUACAACCUUGUCGACCAACUAACAUUAGAUUUACUCCGGGAGGAUAAUCAACCUUUAAUGUCAGCCAGUUAUGCAGUUCGCUCUCCAGGGAAAUGAACCUUCCGAGCGAUCGCCCUCCAGCCGGUCUGAAGGAGGAAGAAGGGAAACAUCAGGUGACCUCUGACCUUACAGUGCACUCACAACAGAUCAAAGAAAGAAGCGGGCGUAAUCCAGAGGGCAAGAUGGAGGACGCGCCAACCUGUUCUGAUGUGAUUGAGGGAGGCCAGCAUGCGCAACAUGAAAGACGCAGGUACGGUGAUGGUGUUUCUGGUCUCUUCCAACAUCAGCUCAUUUCGUGUGAUCACCUGUGGGGGAAGCCACAGCGACAGAGGUCAAAGGUGAACGGAGCCAGGUGCUGCACUUGUGGCAGGUGGCCGUAGAAACACGCACUUCCUCCCCAUUUCGGAGCAUUCCGGAAUAAAUGCCGUUAUCCUAGAGCAGAAAUCACAAGUCUAAAAUAUGUCAGGCAUAAGGAGGCCUGAUUGGUUAUGGCAGUUACAUCUGUUAAAUCUGCAGGGUCUCUGCUAAAGAGCUCAACCUACACUCUGACAAACACUUAUAUAAGUCAUUCAGGGAAUCCAGAAUUUUUUUUUGCUUUUGACUCACUCUCUGUUUCAUAGAGCCAAAGAAAACGGGUCAAGAAACCCUGGGCUGCCUUGAGUUAAGCUCCCAGUUAUUA